GGGCGCUUAGCUCAGUUGGUAGAGCGUCUGCCUUACAAGCAGAAUGUCCUGCCUUACAAGCAGAAUGUCGGCGGUUCGAUCCCGUCAGCGCCCACCA
rnacentral:tRNA from 1 species